UGUGGUGAUGGGAGCUUUGUGCAGGUGGCAAGUGAGGGAUGUGUGCUACGGUGGGGGCUACGUGUGUUUGGAGUUACUGUGUGGGCAGGGUUGUUGGUGGUUUUGAAGAACUGCGGCAGUUGGACCCAAGUUAUAUGAACUGAACAGAGAAGAGAAGAAUCUGGAAAGAAGAAGAUUAGAGGACAAACUCAUAAAAAAUUUGCAUCCACGGAUCACAAAAUGUUUUACAGAUGGGAAAACAGAGGCACAGAGUGAUUCAGUAACUUGUUCGAUGUCAGAAAGCUAGUUAAUGGCAGAGCAAAGAAUAGAAUACAGAUGAUUUUUUGUCUUCCAAAAGACACCUUCAAUUGAAUUAUAUAAUUAGUCCAUUAGUGCUACAACUAGCCUCAAAAGGCCAAUAUUGAUUCACAUUUUAUUUGUUUUAUAAAAUGUAUUUUAGGUAUUAGCGAUAUUAACCCUUGCCAGAAAAAUGCAAAACACUAAAAUUGUUCGUGGUAGAUACAGUUAGCUGAUUUCAACUUUUUUACAACAUGUAUUUUAGUUCUAUGUAUAUAUUCCA